CCUCCACAUUCCUCUACGCAAACUCUUGGCAACAAGUAGCAUGGAUAUUAGCAAGUAAAGGCAAAUAGAAUAACUAGUAAAUAUUCUAGCCUUUGUAGUGUUUUGUUUAAAUAAUUGAUUUUGAGUGUUUGUGUGUAUUGUUGUUUAGCAUCUUUCAAAUGACCUACUUUUAAAACUAACUAGCUAACCUUGGGUGUCUCCAUUGAUCAGAAGCAAGAAUGGUUCUGUGCUAUGUACCGGAGUGUAACAACUACUCCGAUUAACCUCAUGUGCAUUUCAUGGUUUUCCGACCUCUGUGAGGCAUCGCUGGAAACGAGUGAUAAGACAAUAGGCGUGACCUGCGGAACAUCGGGCUCACCCCACGAAAAGCAGUGUAUGAUCAACGCCACCCCCAGCCAGGAGAUCUGCUGGUAGUGAUGGCUCUCCCAUUCUUAGAUGUACUCUCUCUCUGUUCAUGUUUUUGUUAUUCACCCAAUGUUCUGAUGGACCCACAACAUUAUUGGGUUUUUAAAACGAUACAGCCAUAACAAUUUACAUAAAAAUACUUAAUACUUACAUUUUGACUUAUAUCAAUUACAAGCAAUAUAGACAACAACAAAAAAGAUUGUUAAUAUUUGCCAUUUACCUCUGCUAGAUCACAUUUAUCAAUAUAAAUAUCAAUAAAAGCGCUAUUUGUUUUUUUUUAAAUAAAAUGGGAUUUAAUAAUUUAAAAAAAAAUCAAUUAUAAUCAAGACAUGGGUGGAGUAAAUCAUGUUCAUCUUCAAUAUAUAUAAUUUAAACAAGGUUUUCAACACUAUUGAUGUUUAUUGCUUUGAACUGAACAAAUUGGAAGGUCAAAUUUUACACACAGUAUUUAAUGGAAAUGAUAAAUGAGCCCCAUUGAACACAAAUGAAAGCUGGUCUACACACCACAUGAGGGACAGAGUUUUACUGUGUGUGUGUCGCAAAUGUAUUUCUUGCACUUGAUGCAUGCAUACUGUCGUUCUGUCUUUCUUGGGUCCACACACAUUCCAGCGCUUCUUGUUGCUAAUGGCUGCAUUCUAGAAUGAUGAAAUCACUUAAUGCUGGAAUUUUACUAACAUCUCACUCAUUCACAUAUAUAGUUAUAGCAGGCCAUGGUAGGAGAGUCAGACACACACACACAUGCAACAAUAUAACUCACACUUACUUCCAGUAUUCUCCUGAAUCCUCCUCACGAUGGCUGCAGAAGCUGGGUUCCUUGGGAUAUGUUGCCUCCUCUGGAUUUGAGGUCUUACCAAUGCCUUGCCCAGCUUCUCGAGAAAGAGCCGUAUCCUCUGGUGCUUCCCUCUGUUCCAAUCUGGGUUCAACGCAAUCCAGAUACAAAGACAACCCGCAUCCCUUGGUUCUUCUCAGGGGCUCCACCAUCUGCCUUCCCCGUAUAUACUUGCAAGUUCCACGCAUAUGAUGAAGCAGCAUCACAGGGAGCCCAGAUCUUGAUUCCAUAUGUUGCGGGUUUAGACGGUGUGUACUGCCUGAAAGGGCAGCGGCCCCUAAAUGGCAUAAGCUGCUCAACAACAGUAACAUUGGGCCCAGGGUUGUAAAAAGGGGAAGGCAGACCACUUCUCCCACACUGACCUGAUUGCAGCUAGCUUGUCUCUGCCGCCAUGCUGGUCUGGUGUCUCGGUUAACGAACCGGAGAAUCCUGGAAAUAGACAUUGUUGCACGGAAAAGUUCUCUGCCAGUUUCUGCAUCCCACAGGGAUUCUGUGGAUUCCCCGUUGGAUCUGAAAACACCAGCAAGAAUAAGAGCCCCAAAGUAUGCAUGUAAAUGAGUUUGGUCCAUCUCUCCAAAAACACUCCUUCCCUCCCAAAUUAAUGCAGUCCAGAAUGAUUUUCUGGAUGGUGUCUGGGAUGAACAGUUCAAUAGAAGACUAUGUCCUGCACAUGAGUAACCGCCAACUGCGUCGGCCCUGUUUGCAUCCUUAUCACAUUGGCAGCAAUUUUUUUACAUUCAUAUUUCUCCUCGUGCAGGCUGCUGACGGGCUGGUUCUGGGGCUGGCUGCUGAUGGGCCAUCCCAGGGCUGGCUGAGGGUCAAUCUCAUCCUCUUCUUCCAACUCACUGUCAGACCCUGAAUUGACAGAGACAUGAUCCUCAUAUUUGGAAAAUGCUUAACCUUUCAAAGUAACAUUGUGCGGGUUCCCGCAAGAUAUUGUGUAGUUUCACACACUACAAAGGGUAAUGGGGUGGCAGGGUAGCCUAGUGGUUAGAGCGUUGGACUAGUAACCAAAAGGUUGCAAGUUCAAAUCCCCAAACUGACAAGGUACAAAUCUGUCGUUCUGCCCAUGAACAGGCAGUUAACCUACUGUUCCUAGGCUGUCAUUGAAAAUAAGAAUUUGUUCUUAACUGACUUGCCUAGUAAAAUAAAGGUUACAUUUUUUUUUAAAGCGGGAGACAGGGAGACAGACUAUGGUGCUAUGUUGAAACAGCAGGAUCAGGGAGAAGGAAGACAAAGGGAAGGCAAACAGCAAACCUUUUUUGUUUCAUUUUUACUUGUUUUCACCUACACGCACACUUUUCCACAAUUUUAUUACCCUUGGGUCCAGUGGAACCGAACACCACAUAUGUAAUAAAAAAGUAUAGGGGGGUGCACAGUGCACUAAAUAAUUUGUAUUUUUAUUUUUUACAUGUUCUUCACAGAAAAUGAGUCUCAAGUUGAAACAAAUAUUUAAUUGAAUCAUUUUUAUUUGAGUAAACAUUGAAAAUGCGUCCCACAGACCCGAAAAACCACACAAGGGUUAAGCAUUCCAGAUGAUUUUCAAAGGCUGUGUCCUAACCAACUCUACUUACUUAUUUGGAGUUCAAUGGAAACAUUGAAGUUCCAGGCACGUGGGAUGAUGCCAGAUGCUGGAAUAGCAGGUAGCCUUUUGCUUUUAUGUUGCUUGCUUUGAUGUUGGCACUUAAUAUUAAAUAUUGUCAGUAAAAUGUAAAUAUUUUCAGUUAAUAAUUCCAGUUAAACUGGCUGGCUCGUUAGCUGACAAACUAACAUACUGUGCAGAGAUGAACUACAGUGGCCGCUUUGAGCAAAACUUGAAUGUAAUAUAAUAUAUUCUAGGAGGUUAUUAUUUCUGUAUGAUCUUUAUUCAUUGUUCACUUAUUUUUCAGCAAUGCCACGUACAGGCAGGGAUGACUGGGGCCUUCAGCGGGUAAGAUGUGGGUGCCAAUUUUGGGAACAUGUGGUCCUUGAAAAACGCCUCAUCUCCAGCAAUAUGAGUGUGCCAGAGGUCAUCACGCUGGAUGGGGAUGGUGAUGGAGGCUUUGGUGGUCCACACAAUGAAGGAGCAUCAAUGAAAUGGCAAUUGAACUUACGCCAGAGGCAGCUCCAAGAUGCCGGUGGAGAAGAGGUAUUCGGAGUGGACUUCUAGUCCGACUCAGGAGGCGUGCAUACCAUCCACCACUUCAGAGUAUAUUACUCGCUAAUGUCCAGUCUCUGGACAAUAAAGUAGACAAGCUCAGGGAGAGGAUGUCCUUCCAGAGAGACAUCAGAGACUAUAACAUUCUCUGUUUUACGGAAUCAUUAAUCUCUCCGGAUAUACUGUCCCCGUCCAUACAGCCAGCUGGGUUCUCAGUACAGACAGGAAUAAAGAACUCACCGGGAAGAAGAAAGGCGGUGGUGUAUGUUUCAUGAUUAACUACUGAUAGUGUGAUUGUGAUAACAUACAGAAACGCAAGUCCUUUUGUUCACCUGACCUAGAAUACCUCACAAUCAAAUGCAGACUGUAUUACCUCCCAAAAUAAUUAUCUUUGGUUAUAGUCACAGUCGUGUAUAUUCCCCCUCAAG
ensembl:lncRNA